AGCGAACGCUGGCGGCAGGCCUAACACAUGCAAGUCGAACGAACUCUUCGGAGUUAGUGGCGGACGGGUGAGUAACGCGUGGGAACGGGCCGUUAGGUUCGGAAUAACUCAUGGAAACUUGUGCUAAUACCGAAUGUGCCCUUCGGGGGAAAGAUUUAUCGCCUUUAUAGCGGCCCGCGUCUUAUUAGCUAGGUGGGGAGGUAAAGGCUCACCAAGGCGACGAUCAGUAGCUGGUCUGAGAGGAUGAUCAGCCACAUUGGGACUGAGACACGGCCCAAACUACUACGGGAGGCAGCAGUGGGGAAUCUUGCGAAAUGGGCGAAAGCCUGACGCAGCCAUGCCGCGUGAAUGAUGAAGGUCUUAGGAUUGUAAAACUCUUUAACCGGGGACGAUAAUGACGGUACCCGGAGAAGAAGCCCCGGCUAACUUCGUG
rnacentral:rRNA from 1 species